CGCAGCCGCGGUAAUUCCAGCUCCAAUAGCGUAUAUUAAAGUUGUUGCAGUUAAAAGCUCGUAGUUGAAUUUCGGGAUCAGUACGCCGGUCGUGCCUUCGGUAUGCACUGGUGUCACUGGUUUCUCCCUUCUGAAGAACCAUCAUGCCAUUCAGUUGGUGUGGCGGGGAAUCAGGACUGUUACUUUGAAAAAUUAGAGUGUUUAAAGCAGGCUCGCGCUUGAAUACAUUAGCAUGGAAUGAUGAAAUAGGACGUUUGACCCUAUUUUGUUGGUUUCUAGGAUCGACGUAAUGAUUAAUAGGGAUAGUUGGGGGCAUUAGUAUUCAAUUGUCAGAGGUGAAAUUCUUGGAUUUAUUGAAGACUAACUACUGCGAAAGCAUUUGCCAAGGAUGUUUUCAUUAAUCAAGAACGAAAGUUAGGGGAUCGAAGACGAUCAGAUACCGUCGUAGUCUUAACCAUAAACUAUGCCGACUAGGGAUCGGAUGAUGUUAAUUUUUUAAUGA
rnacentral:misc_RNA from 1 species